AGUUACCAUCAUUAAGUUGGGGACUCUAGAGAGACUGCCGGUGAUAAACCGGAGGAAGGUGGGGAUGACGUCAAAUCAUCAUGCCCCUUAUGGCCUGGGCUACAAACGUAAUACAAUGGCGUAUACAAAGGGAUGCGAAAGAGCGAUCUGGAGCAAAACUCAUAAAGUACGUCUCAGUUCGGAUUGAAGUCUGCAACUCGACUUCAUGAAGCUGGAAUCGCUAGUAAUCGCGGAUCAGCAGGUCGCGGUGAAUACGUUCCCGGGCCUU
rnacentral:rRNA from 1 species